AUUGAACGCUGGCGGCAGGCUUAACACAUGCAAGUCAAGCGGAGAUGAGGUGCUUGCACCUUAUCUUAGCGGCGGACGGGUGAGUAAUGCUUAGGAAUCUGCCAUUUAGUGGGGGACAACAUUCCGAAAGGAAUGCUAAUACCGCAUACGUCCUACGGGAGAAAGCAGGGGAUCUUCGGACCUUGCGCUAAAUGAUGAGCCUAAGUCGGAUUAGCUAGUUGGUGGGGUAACGGCCUACCAAGGCGACGAUCUGUAGCGGGUCUGAGAGGAUGAUCCGGCACCCCGGGCACGAGACACGGUCCAGAAUCCUACGGGAGGCAGCAGUGGGGAAUUUUGGACAAUGGGGGCAACCCUGCUCCAGCCAAGCCGGGUGAGUGAAGAAGGCCUUCGGGUUGUAAAGCUCUUUCGGCCGGGAAGAAAUCGUAUCAGCUAAUACCUGGUGCGGAUGACGGUACCGGCAUAAGAAGCACCGGCUAACUACGUGCCAGCAGCCGCCGUAAGAC
rnacentral:rRNA from 1 species